rnacentral:lncRNA from 1 species
GCCUACCAUGUUAUAACUUCAGAAGCUGUCAAUAUGUCUUACCUGCCCCUAAUAUGAGACAAAUGCUUUGAUCAUUCACACACGUGAUUUCUGUUAGGGCUUACAUACAAAAUAUAGACUACUGUAAUCAUUUGUGGUGUUUAUUAAUAACAUAAGUAGCCUCUAUCACGGUGCUGACAUACGCGAUCCUGUCCUGAUGUGAUAUAGGUUCUACCCUGUAUUAUUAAGCGGGAGGAAAACGUCAUUCCUUUUCAAAAGAGACGCUAUAGCCAUAAUCAAUAUGCCACUUAAUAUUAUUGAUUUCCUUUCGGCAUCCAGACACUAAGAAAACACAACGCAUGGGGAUAUCUCAAAAUUUAAAAAAAAUACAAUGAAUCGAGACGUCGCCAUACAAACGCACGAUGACACCGACUGCAUUCAUCAAUUUACAGCGCAACAGACGAACAGCACGGGCCUCUCUUUGACAUUUCCCGACCACCGGGUUGAGAGUUCACAAUCAGACAACGAGGUUUUGUGGAGCGACAAGAAGGUAUAGAACGCUGGAGGACUGAAUGUGAUGCUGAAGGUAUAAAUAUGGUUUUCUAUAGGACGAUGAGUUACUGUAGGUGGAGCAAAUCAUCCCAGUAUGAUCAGAAGAGGGCUUUCCAUCCAUAGCCUAAUGCUCUUGUGAGCACUGAGUCACGAACCAUUCCAAUCUUCCAUUAGAAGAAUAAUGAGGAAAAAAACAUGCUUCAUAGUUUGAAGGUCAUCUACUUUUACCUAAUUCAUCACCAGGUGUACGCUACUGGACCAUGCUGGUUUUUAUAGGCCUAAAGGGACUAAUAUCACUGCCCUUCAACCUUAUAUUUUAUUAGGUUCUAUUCUAUUCCUAUUCUGUGAUAUUCUAUGUGAUAUCCAAGUACAUUAAAUGGAAUAUAAUAUCUUUAUAUCUUUUAAAUAUACACUACCAUUCAAAAGUUUGGGGCCACUUAGAAAUGUCCUUGUUUUUUAAAGAUUUUUAAUUUUAAAUAAAUUAAAAUAACAUCAAAUUGAUCAGAAAUACAGUGUAGACAUGGUUAAUGUUGUAAAUGACUAUUGUAGCUGGAAACGGCAGAUUUUUUUAUGGAAUAGCCUCAUAGGCGUAAAGAGGCCCAUUAUCAGCAACCAUCACUCCUGUGUUCCAAUGGCACGUUGUGUUAGUUUAUCC